AGAGUCGACUGAGAUCGCCAAAAGAAUCAAUGGCUCCUGGCGACAGUUUUCGAAACCAUGACCUGGCGGGUCCUUUCAAAGUGGCGGAGAACGCUUUGCACAUAAUCUCAUCCGAGCAACCCUGGAGCGACAUUAGGCUCUUGUACGAGUCCAGGUGGUCCAUUGGAUCUGUUUUUCCUUCAUAAAUAUCGAGCUGGGCGGGGAGCUUGAACUUCGAUGAAAUCCGAGCCCUCAAUAUCCUCUCUGUGAACGGCGGUUCUGUCUGUUUAAUUAGUGUGUCCACAGUUACUCGGGCACUUGUUCCAGUAUUGAUGGCGUCGAGCCGUGCGUCCAAGUCUCAAAACUUUUGCGAGGUGGAUUUGUUUUGUGCCCUGAUCCGAUCGUCUUUAUGAGGACUCCUCCCCCUUCUCGACCUGGUUGGAGUUUUACUAGAUUCCGAGGAACUCUUUUCACGUAAGGACGAGCUUGGUGCUUGGCGUCUCCCCCGCCCUACUUGAUCGGCACUGAUAUUUCGAGAACGAUCUCCUGAACGAUUCGAGUGGCGAGAUCGCUCGAUAUCAGGGACGGGUGGUGCUGCUGGAAGUGGGGGGUUGGCAGCAGCGAGG
rnacentral:lncRNA from 1 species